GGCAGGCGGACGGGAUGCAGAGUAAUGGGUUCCCCCUCGAAUAAUGGAUUGGCAGGCCCUUCCGCACCCCCAAACAACCUCACGCCACCUCAAAGAGGAGAGACUGAGUUUGGGCUGCGUAGAUCAAAGAAGGGCUACAGUGCGGUGGCACAAUCUUGGCUCACCACAAUCUCCACCUCCCAGGUUCCAGCGAUUCUCCUGCCUCAGCCUCCCAAGUAGCUGGGAUUACAGGACAUGGAGGUGGCAGCGAGGACAGUACAGACUAGACUUACUCUAACUGGGUUCAAAGACCGGUUCUGCCUCUUCCCAGCUGUGUGAACCUGGCCAAGGUUUCACCAUGUUGUCCAAGCUGGUGGUCUUGAACUCCUGACCUCAGGUGAUCCACCCACCUCAGCCUCCCAAAGUGCUGGGAUUACAGGCAUGAGCCACGGCACCCAGCCUAGGACUUUCCUGAAUCACUAACUAACUCAAACCUUAAGGGGUGAGUACGAUUUUUAUCCCCAAUUCAUAGAUGAAGAAACUGUAGCACAAAGAGGUUAAGUAAAUUGUUCAAGCCUACAUAGCUAGGAGCCAGGAUUUGAAACUGGGUAAGCUGAGUCCAGAGUCUGCUCUCUUCACCACCACCUGUUCUGCCUUUCCUCUGGGCUCCAGGCUCAUAUAUUCCAAUGCAUACUUGACAUCUGCACCUAGAUGUCCCCUGAUCACUUUCUAUCACACACUACCCUAUGGUGUGUGUGUGUGUGUGUGUGUGUGUGUGUGUGUGUGCUUUAGACUGGGUCUCACUCUGUUACUUAGCUUGGAAUGCAGUGGCAUGAUCUCGGCUCACUUGCAACCUCUGCCUCCUGGAUUCAAGCAAUUUUCCUGCCUCAGCCUCCUGAGUAGCUGGGAUUACAGACACCCGCCACCACGCUCAGCUAAUUUUUGUAUGUUUAGUAGAGAUGGGUUUCUCCAUGUUGGCCAAGCUGGUCUGAAACUCCUGAUCUCAUGUGAUCCACCCACCUCGGCCUCCCAAAGUUCUGGGAUUAUAGACAUGAGCCACCAUGCCCAGCCUGUUUGUUUUUUAAUAGCCUUUAUCAUUAUUUAAAAAUACCUCAUUUACAUUUUAUUAAUUUGGACAUAGAGCUAUUCUGUCUUGUUUACAUUUGUAUCCCCAUUGCCUAGAAUGGUGCUCAAUACAGAGUAACUACUCAAAAUAUAUUUUUAAAGGGAUGAAUGAAUGAAAUUGAGUGCACAGACAAGUGAGGUCAAUCAUGGCAGGUCGUUUGGACAUAAGUUUUAAGGCAUAGUUUGAAAGAGGGUAAGAUGGUUCAUUACUAGAGUGGAGAAAAGACAUUUUUAGCAAAGAAAACAAGAUAUUCAAAGAAGUGAGCUGGUCUUAAAUAAGUGACAGAUAGAAGCUGAUAGCUAUAUUAAUUCAGGUGAUAUAGAAAGUUAGUGACUACAGGAAUAAAAUUAGCUUAUCAGAGCAGGGAGUCAUCACUUAGAUAUUGAAUGUCAAACUAAGGAGUUUAAAUUUAUUAAUGACUUCAGCUAAUACUUACUGAGUUUCUACUGGAUGCAGGUCCUAUUCUAGGUACUUUUUAUACAAUAAUGAACAAGCAAGAUAUAAUCUCUAUCCUCAUGGUAUUUACAGUCCAGUGGAAAACUGGCAUCAAAUACUAUUCCAUAAGCAUUAAUACAAAUUGUCAAAGUGUGUGCUGAAUUAAUAUUUUGGAAAAUGACUCAGUAUGUGUUUUGUCCCCCGCAUUACUUGUUCUCCUUUGGCUCUUACCCAUUCAAUCAGCUCGGUAUUCUGCAUGUAAUGAUGCGGAAAACAGAUGAAUUGCAGAAUCCAAUAUAUAACUAACAAAAAUCUUGUCCUAGCUCUUGAGUUCCAAAAUCCUAGUUUUCAGUAGGCAUAGAAUAUAACUUCUGUCAUGAAUAGUGAUUUGAGAAAAUACUCAAUGAAUCAGAGCAAGGCUUUUCUGGCCCAGAGACCGGCAACUUUUCUCUAGGAUGGAGGAGAGUCAGAGGGAAGUGAUUAGAACUUAGGUGGUGUUGGGUCUUUGCAAAACAGAGCCUCUACCCCAUCUCACUGCCAGGCCAAGCUCCAGGGGGUGACAAAUUCAAGAUUAGUUUGGACUUCAUAAGAGCAGAGGAGACUGGUGCUCACUUUCUCCAGGCCCAGCCCAGCAAAUUGACCAACAUUGAGUAGAAAUGGCUUUGUAGAUGCCUUUGCUCUUGGACUUUGAAACCUCACAGAUUCCCCCUGUGCUUCUCUUUGAUGCAGCGAGCAAAGUGAUCUCUAGGCAUACAGGAGUAGUACUCUAAUGAAGCACAGCAUUGUUUUUCUGACAGCAAAUCUGUCAUUUGCCAAUGACUACCAAUCCUCCAAUUCUUUGAUACCAACUGGGUGUCCAACAAUUCAAUUCAACUCUGACAACAAUUACCUGAAGUUAGUCCAGACCCCACAAGUUAUGGACUCAGUUGCAUAACAGUGCCUCCACUUCACAUGCUAGCCAAAUAUGGGGCUCCAAGCUAACUGAACCACUAUUCAAUCAACUACAAAUUUGGGGAUUCCCAUGACUCUCCCUGUAUUAGUUUGUUUUCACGCUGCAAAUAAAGACAAACCCAAAAUUGGGCAAUUUACAAAAGAAAGAGGCCUAAUGGGCUUACAGUUCCACGUGGCUGGGGAGGCCUUCCAAUCAUGGCAGAAGUCCAAGUGGCACAUCUCACCUAGCAGCAGACAAGAGAAGAGCUUGUGCAGAGAAACUCCUGUUUUUAAAACCAUCAGAUCUUGGGAGAUUUAUUCACUAUCAUAAGAACAGAAUGGAAAACACCUGAGCCCUUGAUUCAAUUACCUCCCAUCAGAUUCCUCCCAUAACACACGGCAAUUCAAGAUGAGAUUUGGGUAGGGACACAGCCAAACCAUAUCACUCCCCACCCUCUACCAGGUUUGAUAAUUCGCUGGAAAGACCCGCAGAAUACGGGAAAGCACUAUACUUACCACUGCAGUUUUACUAUAAAAAAUACAAUUCAGAAAUAGCCAAGUAGAAGAGAUACAUAGAGCCAGGAAGGGAAUGGAAGGUGGACAGAGCUCCCAUGUCCUCUCUGGGAAUGCACCCGCCCAGCACAUAAAUAUGUUCACAAACUUGGAAGAUCCCUAAGCCUCAUUGUUCAAGAGAUUUUACUGAAGUUUCAUUACAUAGGCAUGAUUGAUUAGCCAUUGGUGAUUGAACUCAAUCUCUAACCCUUCGACCCCUCCCCUUCCAUGGUUAGGGGAUGUGGCUGAAAGACCCUGGUGGUCAGUUCUAUCCUGAAGCUCUCUAGAGACCAAGAAUUCUCUCUUUAGCGUAAGGUCAGCUAUGAUUCAAAGGGGCAAGUUAUAAAUAACAAAAGACAGUUCUAUUGGGUUUAGAAGCCCUUGUUCCCUGUGUAACUACUCCGCCAGAGGCAAGUCUCAAGCUGUCCAACUUGAUGUCACUGGGUUCACCUGGAACCCAGGUGAAAUCUCAGGAGGAAAGGGAAAGGUGAGUACUUACUCUAAUAUCAUUUUCAAUUGCUGUUGAAUAAGGGUUCAAAUUAUAAAUCAAAGCCUACUCUUCCUAUGCCUCCCUCCCUUCUUUCCUCUGUCCCUCCCUUGCUGCUUCUCUCCUUCUCUCUUUCUUUUGUUCACAGAGUCAACAGUGGCCGAGUGCCCAUGUGUUUCAUGGCGCUUGUCUAGUAUAUUUUUAAAAGGUGGCACCAGGGUGCUUCUGCUAAAAUGGGUCUGUUGUUCAUGGAGGAGCUGGGGGUAAUGGCCCUGGAAGUGUGGGGAGAUCAACAACUGACAGGGAUCAGCCCUUCCAGUCCAAGUGGGACACUGCUGCCUACAUUACCUUCCUCACCUUCGUCAGCACCGUGUUGUUCUUGCAGCUGCUGCUGCAACUCCCCUAGAUCUCAGAAGGUGAGAUCCCAGAAGGGUAACGUGGCCCUAAGCCUUAACACCAUGACUCCCUGACAGCCCCUUCCUGUUUGUCCUGCCUUGUAGCAAGUAACAAUGCCAUGUUUGUGUUUACCUAGAAAAAAUAAUUAAUUUAAUUAACGGUGAGUCACAUAUUUAGAAAAUAACUUAUUUGCAGAACUGCGUUUGUAGAUCGAGACUCAUUCCUAUCAUUAAGACUGAUCUCACCAUGGUAAAUAGAGCUAUAUAAAACUAUAUAAGUAUCUGUGGAAUCCCAAGUGGAUUCUAUUUAAAUAUCAGUAAGAGCCGAGCCCUGCCUACUAACAAGAAUAGGAAGAUAAUUUAGAAUAGAAUACAGCCAUUCAAAGGGUAAAUCAUUCCUAUCUCAAAGUGCAACAACCUGGGACAGGGGUUACAGACCCAGAUUUCACUAGAAUUAAAGAUGUGGACAUGGGACCCUUUCUGGCUAUGAAACUCCUAUAACUGAGUUACGAGGCCUCAGUAUGUUGGGAGAACACAAAACCCUGAGUCCCAGCCAAACCCAGGGUCAAUUUGUAUCCUCAGUGACCUCCUCCUGAAAGAUAACACCAAAUGUUUGGUGUGGUAUAACGGUCUGCUUCAUUUACCAAUUUUAAUUUGAAGAGGAUCUGUAAUUGAAAAUAGAGUAAAUUAUGAAAACUGAUUAAUCUAAACCCACUGUAUUCAUGUAUUCAUGGUAAGUUGAGAAAUACCUUGUGUACUUGCCAUUUAGAAUAUACGCAAUGAUAGCACCAGGCACGGUGGCUCAAGCCUGUAAUCCCAGCACUUUGGGAGGCCGAGACGUGUGGAUCACGAGGUCAAGAGAUGGAGACCAUCUCUACUAAACCCCGUCUCUACUAAAAAUACAAAAAAUUAGCUGGGCACGGUGGCACGUGCCUGUAAUCCCAGCUACUCAGGAGGCUGAGGCAGGAGAAUUGCCUGAACCCAGGAGGCGGAGGUUGCGAUGAGCCGAGAUCGCGCCAUUGCACUCCAGCCUGGGUAACAAGAGCGAAACUCCGUCUCUAAAAAAAAAAAAAAAAAGAAUAUACGCAAUGAUUUGGAGAAUUUAUUAGUAGCAGAUGAGCAAAUCAAACAGAAUUACUUUAUGAUUUAAUGUAUAACAUUUAAUUGAAUAAUUGAUUAACUUCUGACUUUAAGUUCAAUGUAUAAGAAAACUUUACUAAAUUUAAAGAUACUAUUGGAACACUCAGGAGAACCUAAUAUUCACCGUAUUUAUGUUUAAUAUGUUAGAGUUACUUAAAUUAUUUUUGUUACACAGUUGAAUGACUUAAAAUUAAAACAUGUACAUUAAAUGUAUGAAUGUAAUUUUUCAAUGUUUAAGAAUUAAAAUUAGGUUUGUAAAUGGGCUCACACAUUAAUCAAAGGCCCUCUUGAAAGUGACCCCUUAAUCAAAGGUCCCCUUGAAAGUGACUGUUCAAGUCUUAUGCAUUUAUUAAUAGAACAAUGUGAUUUUUAUUUUGAAUUUUAAUGCUUAAGGACAAAUAGUUUUCUGAUCUUAUAACCUUAAAUGGAAUAUUAGUUUAUAAAAACCAAACUCAUUAUAAAUAAUCUUCUCUGGUCAUAAAAACUGCCAUCACUCAUACCUAAACCCAAGAAUCACUUUCUUAUAGUGAUGGUUUAAACAGAUGCAAACAGCAAGCAGAUCUCAUCACCUUUGCAGUGACAUCCAUCUAGAAAGGUGCUAGAGUUGACAUACAGCAGUUGUAUUGGUUCAUUAGAGCCAAUGAGGUCCACCUUUCCCAGCUCCUCAUUUAGAGACAUCAAGUUGAUAGCUUGAAAUCUGCCUUGGUGGGAGUAUUUACAUCACAGAGAUUGGCAAACACCACCAACAGAGCUGCUUUCCCCAGAGAGCCGACUGUGAAACAUUUACCAGCACACCAGUGCUUCCAGCACCCUUUGCUAUUUCAACACUAGAAUACAAUUUAAGAAUCACUGCGUAUGAUACAUGAUGUCAAAGAACAUUCAUAUGGUUCUUAUGAAAUCUUAAGAAAGGAAUGAUUAUGAGAGAUACUGGAAAGAAAAUGUCUAUAAGACCAAUGCGGUGCUUUGAAAAUGGUGGUAAUGGGAAGAGAGGAGUGGGUUGUAUUUUCUCCCCUGGAAUAGGAAUCAUUUCAAAGCACAUCUCUUCGAAGAAGUUUACAGAGAGAACAUUUCACAAUUCAGUUCCCCAUCCUCUGUGUUUUAAAUGUCUUUGCUUCUGCUGUCAAGGAUCUCAAGUGCCUUUUUAAAAUUCCAUAUUGUUAAGGUAGCUCUGAGUUCUGAAUUCUAUCACUAUUUACUUGUGCAGUUAAAUGAACAGAAUAAUAAUUGAAUACCAGACUCUCAGUCACUGUCCUGCAAAAACAAAAGCUCUGCAGAGAGCUGGAGACGAGUGUGCUUUAAAACUGAAAAAUGUCUUCCACUUUGCAAAUUUGUAGAUUCGAGACAGUGGGAUUGAAGAAAACCUGAGGCUUCUACAGAUACGUGGAAGGUUCACAUAAGGGUUUCUAAAGGGUACUAGGGAAGGAAGUAGAGGGAAACCCUAAGGGCAUGCUCCAAAUAUUAUUUUCCCCACAAAAAUAAGUGUUCUGUAGAAUGUAAAGCUUAGGUCACAACAUGAUGUAAACACCUUUCUCAUCAAUAUUGUGACAAGUAUUUCCCUAGAGCUCAGAGAUAUGAAAAUGAAUAAUGUAGUGUUUCCUUGGAUCUCAGUGAAUAAAAAAGUGAAUGAGACUACCUCACUUUGCACACCGUAACUGGGAGAGACAAAAUCAUAAACAGAUUAACUGGAGUACAAUGUGGCCAGUGCAGAAAUUCAGCAUUUAGAAGAUACCACAGAAGCCCAAGGAGUGGCAUGUGACUCAGCCUUGGGUGAACAGGGGCAGCUUCCAGGGGAAGCUAAAUUUAAGCUGAAUAUUAAAGAGUAGAGGUAAACCAGAUACAGUGUAUGUACGUAGUAGGAGGAAUUACAGGCAGAGGGAUGAGCAUGAGAAAAGACACAGAAAUGAGGAACAGCAGAGUGAUUUGGCCUUAGACCCUUGGCUGAAGGGUAGAUGGGGAUAAGGAGAGGAGAGUGGAGGCCUCAAAGUUUUCAGUGAAUUAUCAAGGAGUAGGGCAAUGCGAGUGGACCAUGCUGGGUGUAGGCAAAAAGGGGGUAGACUGUCUAUUAAGUAUUAGAAAAAAAUAAUAAAACUGACUAUAUUGCCAAUGAUUCUAAACAAUGACAACACGCUCCUCUCUAUCAAGGUGCCCACCCACUAGCACCACUACAUGUUUUUCCUGAAGGUCUGGGGCAAGGAAGUGAUGCCGUUGGACUCCUGAGUAGUGCAGAUCUGGAGAUGCUAUAAUAACCGAACCUGGGUUAGCAUAACUGACUCCGUCUUAGCCGCAAACCUGACAAGCUCUCUCGACCCUCUCCCUCCCUGCCGCAGCCCCUCAGGUGCAUUACUGGGUCACGCUAUGCUCAAAGCUUUGCACCGUUAAGAGUGGUUCACACUGUUCACAGCACCUGUAACCAUUGCGUCCUGCUUGGCCUGUCUAUCUGCUAUUGUGAAUAUCCUCCUUGGCGACUGAUUGUAUGGAAAGUUCUCCCUGCUAUCCCCCUUAGUGAUUGUAUGGAAAUACCCUUAGCAACAACCCUGGGAACCAGCUGCCCCCUGGUUACCAGCUGCCCCCUGGUUACCAGCCUCCUCCUACUAACUUGCUACGUCUGCUUCUGUUAAAUUCUGCUUCAGCUAGGCUGCCCCCUCUCCUACCUAAAUCAAGGUAUAAAGGGAAAUCAAGCCCCUUUCUCGGGCCGAGAGAUUUUGAGCGUUAGCUGACUCUUGGUGGCCCUCUGAAUAAAGGACUCAUAAUUUGAAUUCAGAGUGUGGCGUUUCCUUCUAACUCGCUCAAUUAUUACAAUGCCAGCCUCAAUAAUAUCUAAGUGAGAGAACCCUUCCUUGCAUCCCACUCCCCAUCCUAGGCAGAUAGAGAGUGCCUCUA